rnacentral:rRNA from 1 species
AGAGUUUGAUCCUGGCUCAGAUUGAACGCUGGCGGCAGGCCAAACGCAUGCAAGUCGAACAGUAACAGGAAGAAGCUUGCUUCUUUGCUGACGAGUGGCGGACGGGUGAGUAAUGUCUGGGAAACUGCCUGAUGGAGGGGGAUAACUACUGGAAACGGUAGCUAAUACCGCAUAACGUCGCAAGACCAAAGAGGGGGACCUUCGGGCCUCUUGCCAUCGGAUGUGCCCAGAUGGGAUUAGCUAGUAGGUGGGGUAACGGCUCACCUAGGCGACGAUCCCUAGCUGGUCUGAGAGGAUGACCAGCCACACUGGAACUGAGACACGGUCCAGACUCCUACGGGAGGCAGCAGUGGGGAAUAUUGCACAAUGGGCGCAAGCCUGAUGCAGCCAUGCCGCGUGUAUGAAGAAGGCCUUCGGGUUGUAAAGUACUUUCAGCGAGGAGGAAGGCAUUGUGGUUAAUAACCGCAGUGAUUGACGUUACUCGCAGAAGAAGCACCGGCUAACUCCGUGCCAGCAGCCGCGGUAAUACGGAGGGUGCAAGCGUUAAUCGGAAUUACUGGGCGUAAAGCGCACGCAGGCGGUCUGUCAAGUCGGAUGUGAAAUCCCCGGGCUCAACCUGGGAACUGCAUCCGAAACUGGCAGGCUAGAGUCUUGUAGAGGGGGGUAGAAUUCCAGGUGUAGCGGUGAAAUGCGUAGAGAUCUGGAGGAAUACCGGUGGCGAAGGCGGCCCCCUGGACGAAGACUGACGCUCAGGUGCGAAAGCGUGGGGAGCAAACAGAAUUAGAUACCCUGGUAGUCCACGCCGUAAACGAAUGUCGACUUGGAGGUGGUGCCCUUGAGGCGUGGCUUCCGGAGCUAACGCGUUAAGUCGACCGCCUGGGGAGUACGGCCGCAAGGUUAAAACUCAAAUGAAUUGACGGGGGCCCGCACAAGCGGUGGAGCAUGUGGUUUAAUUCGAUGCAACGCGAAGAACCUUACCUGGUCUUGACAUCCACAGAACUUUCCAGAGAUGGAUUGGUGCCUUCGGGAACUGUGAGACAGGUGCUGCAUGGCUGUCGUCAGCUCGUGUUGUGAAAUGUUGGGUUAAGUCCCGCAACGAGCGCAACCCUUAUCCUUUGUUGCCAGCGGUCCGGCCGGGAACUCAAAGGAGACUGCCAGUGAUAAACUGGAGGAAGGUGGGGAUGACGUCAAGUCAUCAUGGCCCUUACGACCAGGGCUACACACGUGCUACAAUGGCGCAUACAAAGAGAAGCGACCUCGCGAGAGCAAGCGGACCUCAUAAAGUGCGUCGUAGUCCGGAUUGGAGUCUGCAACUCGACUCCAUGAAGUCGGAAUCGCUAGUAAUCGUGGAUCAGAAUGCCACGGUGAAUACGUUACCGGGCCUUGCACACACCGCCCGUCA